AGGAGCAACUCUAAACUCCGCCUCCUCUCAUCUCAGACAACAACGUCCCGGACGAAGGAUUAAAGGAAAGCUGUAACUAUCAGAACAACUUGGAUUGAUUAUAGGAAAACGCCAAUGAUCACGUGGUAAGACUAUUAGACCUGAUGUUUAUUCCGUCUGUAGUGUUUAAUAUCCGAUGCUGUUCAGUCUGGAUGGUCUACAGUAUGAAGGUGCACCUGCUACUGUGCUGAGACUGAAACAAUGUUAAACCGUGAUGGACUGUCCAUUACAGACUCCUGUAGUUCUGUACUGUAGUAUCAGCUGUGAUGAUGGAUCUGACCUGCUGUUCUGUAUUGAUCACUGAUCUAAACUCCUCAUCAGCUGAAGACAGACCGGAGCUUUGAUCCACCCUGUACGGUGACGACAUCCAGAAACGAGCUCCCCUGAAGAGGAAAUGGACGUGAGCACAAUGAUGGACAGGCCGAGGUCACCAGGCUGUGAGUCUGCAGCGAGCAACUGGUCAGCGGAUCGACCUAUUGACUUUAAAGGACAGGUGAACCCAGAGGUUAAAAGGUAAACAAUCUGCUGUGUGAACUGCUUUACGUUGUAGCAGCUUUGCUCAUUUCAAUUGAGAA
ensembl:lncRNA